UGGGGAAUAUUGCACAAUGGGCGCAAGCCUGAUGCAGCCAUGCCGCGUGUGUGAAGAAGGCCUUCGGGUUGUAAAGCACUUUCAGCGAGGAGGAAGGUGGUGAACUUAAUACGUUCAUCAAUUGACGUUACUCGCAGAAGAAGCACCGGCUAACUCCGUGCCAGCAGCCGCGGUAAUACGGAGGGUGCAAGCGUUAAUCGGAAUUACUGGGCGUAAAGCGCACGCAGGCGGUUUGUUAAGUCAGAUGUGAAAUCCCCGGGCUCAACCUGGGAACUGCAUUUGAAACUGGCAAGCUAGAGUCUCGUAGAGGGGGGUAGAAUUCCAGGUGUAGCGGUGAAACGCGUAGAGAUCUGGAGGAAUACCGGUGGCGAAGGCGGCCCCCUGGACGAAGACUGACGCUCAGGUGCGAAAGCGUGGGGAGCAAAACAGGAUUAGAUACCCUGGUAGUCCACGCUGUAAACGAUGUCGAUUUUGGAGGUUGUGCCCUUGAGGCGUGGCUUCCGGAGCUAACGCGUUAAAUCGACCG
rnacentral:rRNA from 1 species